CCCUUAGAUGUUCUGGGCUGCACGCGCGCUACACUGAAGCUAUCAACACGUUUUCCCUCCCUGAGAAGGGCGGGUAACCUUUUGAAUCAGCUUCGUGGUAGGGAUCGGGGCUUGCAAUUGUUCCCCGUGAACCAGGAAUUCCUAGUAGACGCGAGUCAUAAGCUCGCAUCGAUUAAGUCCCUGCCCUUUGUACACACCGCCCGUCGCUACUACCGAUUGAACGUUUUAGUGAGGCAUUUGGACCGACCCAUCUCAGUUUAACCGCUGGUUUGUGUUGGAAAGACUUCCAAACUUGAGCGUUUAGAGGAAGUAAAAGUCGUAACA
rnacentral:rRNA from 1 species